rnacentral:lncRNA from 1 species
UUCAAACAAUUUGGUUACUUUUUAAACUUACAACAAUUGAAAUUAUAGAACGGCGAUAAUAUCAACCAAUCUCUGUGGAUACGAUAUCAAAAUAUUUUCCGAAAAUAUACUUUUCAACAACCACCGGAGCCCUAGCUCCGGUCAUCUUCUCCGGUGAGCACCACCGGUCUGGUCUGAGCUCAACUCAGUGGAAAAUGAAAAUGAAUACACUAAUUUGAAGGAAAAAUGCUCAGGAGCACGAAUCGGGCCUCAAUUUUCU